AGGCCUAACACAUGCAAGUCGAGCGGCAGCGGGAAGUAGUUUACUACUUUGCCGGCGAGCGGCGGACGGGUGAGUAAUGUCUGGGAAACUGCCUGAUGGAGGGGGAUAACUACUGGAAACGGUAGCUAAUACCGCAUGACCUCGCAAGAGCAAAGUGGGGGACCUUCGGGCCUCACGCCAUCGGAUGUGCCCAGAUGGGAUUAGCUAGUAGGUGGGGUAAUGGCUCACCUAGGCGACGAUCCCUAGCUGGUCUGAGAGGAUGACCAGCCACACUGGAACUGAGACACGGUCCAGACUCCUACGGGAGGCAGCAGUGGGGAAUAUUGCACAAUGGGCGCAAGCCUGAUGCAGCCAUGCCGCGUGUGUGAAGAAGGCCUUCGGGUUGUAAAGCACUUUCAGCGAGGAGGAAGGCCAAUAGCUUAAUACGCUGUUGGAUUGACGUUACUCGCAGAAGAAGCACCG
rnacentral:rRNA from 1 species